rnacentral:rRNA from 1 species
UUUAGAUCCUGGCUCAGAUUGAACGCUGCGGCAUGCUUAACACAUGCAAGUCGAACGGAAACGAUAGUAGCUUGCUACUAGGCGUCGAGUGGCGGACGGGUGAGUAAUGCAUGGGAAUCUGCCUAUUAGUGGGGGAGUAACACGGGGAAACUCGUGCUAAUACCGCAUAAUCUCUUAGGAGGAAAGCAGGGGAUCUUCGGACCUUGCGCUGAUAGAUGAGCCCAUGUCGGAUUAGCUAGUUGGUGGGGUAAAGGCUUACCAAGGCGACGAUCCGUAGCUGGUUUGUAGAGGAUGAUCAGCCACAUCGGGACUGAGGACACGGCCCGAACUCCUACGGGAGGCAGCAGUGGGGAAUAUUGGACAAUGGGGGCAACCCUGAUCCAGCAAUGCCGCGUGUGUGAAGAAGGCCUUCGGGUUGUAAAGCACUUUCGUUGGUGAGGAAACGGUCUUAAUUAAUACUUGAGGCAAUUGACGUUAACCAAAUAAGAAGCACCGGCUAACUCCGUG